rnacentral:tRNA from 1 species
CGGUGUCAGGGUAGUUGUCGCCUCUCUGAAUGGGGUUCAGGUGGUCGGAGGUUCAAAUCCUCUCGCCCCGACCA